UACGAGGGGUGCAAGCGUUAUUCGGAGUUACUGGGCGUAAAGAGCGCGUAGGCGGCUUGUUAAGUUGGUUGUUAAACUUCCUGGCUCAACCAGGAACAUGCAGCCAAAACUGGCAGGCUAGAGGGCAAGAGAGAAAGGUAGAAUUCUCGGAGUAGCGGUAAAAUGCGUAGAUCUCGAGAGGAAUACCGGUUGCGAAGGCGGCCUUUUGGCUUGUACCUGACGCUGUAGCGCGAAAGCGUGGGGAGCAAACAGG
rnacentral:misc_RNA from 1 species